rnacentral:rRNA from 1 species
ACGAACGCUGGCGGCGUGCUUAACACAUGCAAGUCGAACGGAAAGGCCCCUUUGGGGGUACUCGAGUGGCGAACUGGUGAGUAACACGUGAGUAACCUGCCCUUGACUUCGGGAUAACUUCAGGAAACUGGGGCUAAUACCGGAUAGGAAUCCUUGCUGCAUGGUGGGGGUUGGAAAGCUUCGGCGGUUUUGGAUGGACUCGCGGCUUAUCAGCUUGUUGGUGGGGUAGUGGCUUACCAAGGCUUUGACGGGUAGCCGGCCUGAGAGGGCGACCGGCCACAUUGGGACUGAGAUACGGCCCAGACUCCUACGGGAGGCAGCAGUGGGGAAUAUUGCACAAUGGGCGGAAGCCUGAUGCAGCAACGCCGCGUGCGGGAUGACGGCCUUCGGGUUGUAAACCGCUUUCAGCAGGGGCGAAGCUUGUGGUGACGGUACCUGCAGAAGAAGCACCGGCUAACUACGUG